rnacentral:rRNA from 1 species
CCUACGGGGGGCAGCAGUGGGGAAUAUUGCACAAUGGGGGAAACCCUGAUGCAGCGACGCCGCGUGAGUGAAGAAGUAUCUCGGUAUGUAAAGCUCUAUCAGCAGGGAAGAAAAUGACGGUACCUGACUAAGAAGCCCCGGCUAACUACGUGCCAGCAGCCGCGGUAAUACGUAGGGGGCAAGCGUUAUCCGGAUUUACUGGGUGUAAAGGGAGCGUAGACGGCGCUGCAAGUCCGGAGUGAAAGCCCAUGGCUUAACCAUGGUACUGCUCUGGAAACUGUGGAGCUUGAGUGCGGGAGGGGCAGGCGGAAUUCCUAGUGUAGCGGUGAAAUGCGUAGAUAUUAGGAGGAACACCGGCGGCGAAGGCGGCCUGCUGGACCGUAACUGACGUUGAGGCUCGAAAGCGUGGGGAGCAAACAGGAUUAGAUACCCGUGUAG